AUUUUUGUGUGUGUGUGUUUAUUUUUCAGAGCCGCAUUAUCAAAUGCCAAAUAUUAGUGUGUCGGCCUCCUCCCCCUCUGAUGACAAAAGCGAGGCUUCCUUCUCCUGCUUUGCUAAAGAUUUUUCACCAAAAGAUCACAAACUGACAUGGCUGAAAGAUAAUGCGGACAUCACCAACAAAAUAUACGAGGUCACAACACCUGUUCAGGGAAGAGAGGAGAACGGAUAUACUGUAUACAGUGCAGCAAGUUUUCUCAGUGUACCGUCCGAUGGCUUGAAUAAGGACACUCGGUUUACAUGUCUGUUUGAGGGGAAAGGUGAAGGCGGCAUUAAAACAUACGUGAAUGAAUCUGUGACCUACGGUUGUCCAACAAUAUCAUGUUCUGGAGGAGAUGUGGACAUAACUAUCAUCGGCCCUACAAAUCAGGACAUGUUUAUUAGCGGAAACGGAAAGAUACAUUGUCAAGUCCAAGAAAACAAACCAUCUGUUACGAGUGUUUUGUGGCAGGACGAGAAUGGACACACCUUGAUUGAGUACUCAAAGUCCACCGAUAAUGGAAAAAAAGUAAUAAAUCUUGCACUUGACAUCACAUAUAAUGAAUGGAACCAGGGGAUCAAGCGCUACUGUGUUGUUGAACACUCAGAGUGGCUUGAGCCAGUCAAGAAAAUCUACGAAAGGAGUAUUGGUAAGAAAA